rnacentral:rRNA from 1 species
CCUACGGGAGGCAGCAGUGAGGAAUAUUGGUCAAUGGGCGCGAGCCUGAACCAGCCAAGUAGCGUGAAGGAUGACUGCCCUACGGGUUGUAAACUUCUUUUAUAAAGGAGUAAAGUGCGGUAUGUGUGCCUUUUUGUAUGUAUUUUAUGAAUAAGGAUCGGCUAACUCUGUGCCAGCAGCCGGGGUAAUACGGAGGAUCCGAGCGUUAUCCGGAUUUAUUGGGUUUAACGGGAGCGUAGAUGGGUUGUUAAGUCAGUUGUGAAAGUUUGCGGCUCAACCGUAAAAUUGCAAUUGAUACUGGCAGCCUUGAGGACAGUUGAGGUAGGCGGAAUUCGUGGUGUAGCGGUGAAAUGCUUAGAGAUCACGAAGAACUCCGAUUGCGAAGGCAGCUUACUAAACUGCCACUGACAUUGAUGCUCGAAAGUGUGGGUAUCAAACAGGAUUAGAUACCCCAGUAGUC